rnacentral:rRNA from 1 species
UACAGAGGGGGCAAGCGUUAUUCGGAAUUAUUGGGCGUAAAGGGCGCGUAGGCGGCCUGGCAAGUGGAAGGUGAAAUCCCUCGGCUUAACCGAGGAACUGCCCUCCAAACUGCUUGGCUUGAGUCCGGGAGAGGUGAGUGGAAUUCCGAGUGUAGAGGUGAAAUUCGUAGAUAUUCGGAAGAACACCAGUGGCGAAGGCGACUUACUGGACACAUAUUGACGCUGAGGUGCGAAAGCGUGGGGAGCAAACAGG